rnacentral:lncRNA from 1 species
GUAGCGUCUCGCCGCUCGGGUUAGUUACUGGUGGAGGCCGUAGGGGACCCUAGCUGUGCCGCCAGAGGUCGUCGGGCCGACUUAUAGGGGCGGCGACCAAGGUCAUUCCUAGUUUCCCUUUUGCGGGCCCCAUUUCGUAUUGCUGACCGCUUCUCAAGCCUUCUUUUCAGCUUACUUAAUGACCUGCCGCGUCCAGAGGCCACACCUGGCCGAGUUCCCUCCCGCCCGUCCAGUGACGCUGCGGGGGAGCUCGAGCCCUCUGGCUCUGGAUCCAGUCUUGGCACGUUGUCGCACCUGUGACUUGCCCUUGGCCAGACAGGCACUGGGGGGGAGGGGGGGAAAGCUCACGUGGUCGCUUUGCUCCCGCAGUCAUGCACUUGGGAGAAAACGGAAAGAGUGAAGAGUCACGAGAACCAGGUUGUCUCCCCGAUUAUAGCGCAGAGCCUCAGGAAGGCUGUGGGUCAUUAAUUUCCCUGUAGUGGACCUGUGUUUUCUGCGUGGUGGCUGUGGCGCUGGGAGGAAGGACAGUGCUUCAGAUUCAAAUCCUGACUUCUUGCUGCAGUGUGUCACCUUGAGUAAAUUCCAGAUCUUUCAGACUGCAUCGUCACGAAUGUAAAACGUUAACAAUCAGUACCUACCUUGUGGCAGGAUUUAAAUGAGUUAACGUGGGCGAAUGAGACCAGAGCUGUGUAGGCACCGAACUCUAAUUUCCGGUUUGCUCUUAAUGUAAAAAUGCCUGUUUUAGGAUGUAGGAAAGGGUGAAAGGGGAUGUUCUCUUUGCAUCCCGAAGCUUUCCUAUUCUUUUGACAUAAAAAUUGAUUUCUGGUCUCCUACAGGGUAUAUAAUGUAGUUUUGACAUUAAUAAGAUUUGCUGUGCACAUUUGAGGGCAUUCUGUCGUGCAGCUUAAGAUCAAAAGUAAUCAUGCCUGGAGAUUAAAGUCGUGGUUUCUUGUCAGGGUUGUAGUGAGAUUGAAGAAUUUCACCAGAAAUACUUAACAGGCUUAGAAUGUUCUGGAGCCCUCCCCACCUUUUUGCCAUCUCUAGCAGCAGGGCACUGAAUAGCAGAAACAAAGAUGCUGUAAAUCAUUGCUAUGUCUGGGACAUCUAUGGAGGCUUGAACUACACAUGAGUAUCCUCUGACCUACCUCGAACAUCUGAUGGAGUUCUAUGAGUAACAAAGUUACAGAGUUACAAAGCUCUUGGUCCCAAGGUCGUGUCUGAAAAAGAAAAGUGCAUGUCCGGGUGCAAUGACCCUACAAUGCAAUUCUGAUGUAAUUCUGGCACCUUAAAAUGUACUCCUCCCUCAACCUUUAGUUCAUUUCAAGGUUAUAAAAAAAAUUGAAUAAAAGGACUGAUCUGUUAAAGGUGCUUAGUGUUCUGCCAUUUAAAACAAUAAUUUGGGGGGGGGGUGUGAAGUAGUUGAAGGGGAUUAAUAGUACACUUAUGAUGAGCCCUGAGUAAAUGUGUUAAAUUGUUGAAUCAUCAUACACCUGAAGCUAAUGUAACACUGUAUGUCAAUUGUACUUGAAUUUAAAAAAUAAAUAAUAAAAAUUUUAAAACAAUUUUCAAAGCAGUUAUUUGUAAGGGAAUUGUUUCACAGUAUGUGUUUUUUGUUUUGGGUUUUUUGUUGUUGUUUUUGUUUUGUUUUGUUUUCAUUUUGUCCAUGGGCGUACUUUUGCUCAUCUGUGGUAUUUAGCCCUUCAAGUUGGCAAAUACUUGCUAGACAACCUCUUUGCGGGGAGGGGGGGGGGGGGGGGGGGGGGGGGGGCGGCCGGNNNUGGGGUGGGGGGUGGGGGUGGCAGCCAGAGUGAGUAGUCAUCAAUGAGAGAGCACAGUCCAGGCCCUUUGGGAUGGGCUUGCAGAGAAUGGGAGAGCCCUGGGGCAGAGACUCAGAGAAUUCGUCAUUACAGAUGAAUUCUGCCAACAUCUUUAAGCUGGUCCUAUCCUUCUUCCUUAGGACAACAGAGCACCUCUGCCAACCAGACUGUAAGAAGAGAGAGAUGGGAGAUUAGGGUGGGUCCUGGCCACCUCAUCAGGGGAGAGAGCAUCAGUGGAGUACGGCCCUUAGAGACCUGGACUUGUCUUGGUCCUGAUAAUCUUCAUCCUCCCAUAGGGGAGAAGAGGUAAGGCUCUGCCUAUGAGAGAAGUUACAGUGCCUUGAUAAUGGAAAGAGGAGGUAAGAGGACCGCCAGUUGACACACAAAUGGCACUGGUUCUGACCUUAUCGCUGGACGUGGGAAAGAGGGCAGAGAGCAUUUGGUCUAGUGGUUAAACAGACCGUAAAGCCAUACUAUUUGCUCUGCUCUUCACUAGUCCUGUGACCAUGGGCAAAUUAAUUCUCUGCCUUUGUCAUCUGUAAAGGGGAGAUGUUGAGAGUCCCUACUGUUACAGGGCCAUUAUGAGGCCUCAAGUUAUGUAGAGCCCUUCUAAAGUUUUCGCACAUGGAUGGUCCUCUCUCGGCAUUCAUGUUCUUCUUAAACUAGCUGAAGGCCUGGGGUGUGUGUGUGUGAGAGAGAGAGGUGUCAGAGCUGCCAUCUGGGCCAAGCUUUUUCACACUUCUCCCACUGCUCAAAGAAAAUGAGGGGCCACAAAAACCUGGGACCUUCUGCCACAGGGGGAGGAGCAGUGUGUAGCAGAGGACACAUCGUGGGCUCACUGGCCUGGUGGUGGGAGGCCUGGGCCUGGCCCCGGCCCUGACUGCCCACAGGAUCUUUGGUAGA